CCCUAGUAUAGUUAGUCUUUUUAAUUGAGCGUUAAGCAUAGUUUUGAAAACCGGACCGGACCGGCCGGUCGAACCAGUCCGACCGUGAACCGGAGGGGUAACCGGUUCGGUUGAUAUAUUGGAUCGGUCAUGCAUUUAAACCGGUGCGAACCGGUAUGAACCGGACAAACUCGGUUAAAACCGGCGAACCGACGGUUUAAUGAGCUGAUCGGUUUUUUAAUGAACAAUUGUUUAAUAUAUCAAAAAAAUUUGAAAACUGGUGCAGCUGGGGAUCACAAAGGUACUAAGAACCACUGCACCACUUCUGUUUGUUGUGAUAAAUUGUUGAUUCAUAUUGAUUAUAUUUUAUUUCAAAAUACCAUAUACUAAAA
rnacentral:lncRNA from 1 species